rnacentral:rRNA from 1 species
AACAAACGCUGGCGGCGUGCCUAAUACAUGCAAGUCGAACGGGGAAAGCUUUCGGGUGAGUACUAGUGGCGCACGGGUGAGUAACGCGUGGAUAAUCUGCCUUAGAGUGGGGGAUAACUAGUCGAAAGGUUAGCUAAUACCGCAUAAGACCACAAGAACUGCGGUUCAAGGGGUCAAAGGUUUUUCGCUCUAAGAUGAGUCCGCGUAAGAUUAGCUAGUUGGUAGAGUAACGGCCUACCAAGGCGACGAUCUUUAACUGGUCUGAGAGGAUGAUCAGUCACACUGGAACUGAGACACGGUCCAGACUCCUACGGGAGGCAGCAGUAGGGAAUAUUGCACAAUGGAGGAAACUCUGAUGCAGCGACGCCGCGUGAGUGAUGAAGGCCUUCGGGUCGUAAAGCUCUGUCGCAGGGGAAUAACACAAUGAAGGUACCCUGUAAGAAAGGAUCGGCUAACUUCGUGCCAGCCGCCGCGGUAAAAC